rnacentral:tRNA from 1 species
GGUAGCUCAGUGGUAGAGUGCUUGCCUUGCAUGCAUGAGGCUUUGGGUUUGAUUCCCCAGCACCA